GACGAACGCUGGCGGCGUGCUUAACACAUGCAAGUCGAACGGAGUGGCGAACGGGUGAGUAACACGUGGGUGAUCUGCCUAGCACUUCGGGAUAAGCUUGGGAAACUGGGUCUAAUACCGGAUAGUGCAAGAUGAGCUAGCGGCCUAUCAGCUUGUUGGUGGGGUAAUGGCCUACCAAGGCGUCGACGGGUAGCCGGCCUGAGAGGGUGUACGGCCACAUUGGUCCUGAGGUAGGGCCCAGACUCCUACGGGAGGCAGCAGUGGGGAAUAUUGCACAAUGGGCGGACGCCUGAUGCAGCGACGUCGCGUUGGUGAUGCAGUCCUUCGGGUUGUAAACUCCUUUCUACGUGGACGCGGUACCUGGAUAAGAAGCACCGGCUAACUACGUGCCAGCAGCCGCGGUAAUUC
rnacentral:rRNA from 1 species